AUUCCUUUACCUCAUGUCCAUUGUGGC
rnacentral:piRNA from 1 species